GACGAACGCUGGCGGCGUGCCUAAUACAUGCAAGUCGAGCGGACCAAAGGGAGCUUGCUCCUGGAGGUUAGCGGCGAACGGGUGAGUAACACGUGGGCAACCUGCCUGUAAGACUGGGAUAACAUCGAGAAAUCGGUGCUAAUACCGGAUAAUAAAAAGAACUGCAUGGUUCUUUUUUGAAAGAUGGUUUCGGCUAUCACUUACAGAUGGGCCCGCGGCGCAUUAGCUAGUUGGUGAGGUAACGGCUCACCAAGGCGACGAUGCGUAGCCGACCUGAGAGGGUGAUCGGCCACACUGGGACUGAGACACGGCCCAGACUCCUACGGGAGGCAGCAGUAGGGAAUCUUCCGCAAUGGACGAAAGUCUGACGGAGCAACGCCGCGUGAGUGAUGAAGGUUUUCGGAUCGUAAAACUCUGUUGUUAGGGAAGAACAAGUGCCGUUCGAAAGGGCGGCACCUUGAUGGUACCUAACGAGAAAGCCACGGCUAACUACGUGCCAGCAGCCGACGG
rnacentral:rRNA from 1 species